UACAGAGGUGGCAAGCGUUGUUCGGAAUUACUGGGCGUAAAGGGCGCGUAGGCGGCCAACUAAGUCAGACGUGAAAUCCCCAGGCUCAACCUGGGAACUGCGUCUGAUACUGGAUGGCUUGAAUUCGGGAGAGGGAUGCAGAAUUCCAGGUGUAGCGGUGAAAUGCGUAGAUAUCUGGAGGAAUACCGGUGGCGAAGGCGGCAUCCUGGACCGACAUUGACGCUGAUGAGCGAAAGCUAGGGGAGCAAACGGG
rnacentral:rRNA from 1 species